rnacentral:rRNA from 1 species
UUGAUCGCAAUGAGAGGUUGGGUGGGCAAACUCAGGGGACAGCUUCAACUAUUCUUCUUCAAACUAGAGGAAGGUUGCGGCAAUAACAGGUCUGUGAUGCCCUCAGAUGUUCUAGGCUGCACACGUGCUACAUUGAUCAGCACAAUGCGAUACAUUUCGAAAGGAAACAUCGGUUUUAAGGUAACGUCGAUUGCCUACCGAUAGCACCUGGUCCCCAGUGGACUGGGCAAUCUCUUCUAAAUGCUGGUAAGGUACCCACACUCGAGCUAUUUAAUCACACGCGGGAGGCACACACGGUUCAAAUCUCAUUUGCGACUGUUGCCGCCAUGACGUAUGCAACUUGUCAAUUCUUCGUGGGGAUCGUCGAUUGCAACUAUUCGACUCGCCACAACUAGGAAUGCCUCGUACGGGUCUCGGUUCACCAUACCGCCCGG